rnacentral:rRNA from 1 species
AGAACGAACGCUGGCGGCAGGCCUCAAACAUGCAAGUCUAGGGGGUGUAGCAAUACAUCACCGGCGGACGGGUGCGUAACACGUGGGAAUAUACCUUUUGGUUCGGAACAACGCAGGGAAACUUGCGCUAAUACCGAAUGUGCCCUUACGGGGGAAAGAUUUAUCGCCAAAAGGAUUAGCCCGCGUAGGAUUAGCUAGUUGGUGAGGUAAUGGCUCACCAAGGCUCCGAUCCUUAGCUGUUCUGAGAGGAAGAUCAGCCACACUGGGACUGAGACACGGCCCAGACUCCUACGGGAGGCAGCAGUUGGGAAUCUUGGACAAUGGGGGAAACCCUGAUCCAGCCAUGCCGCGUGAGUGAUGAAGGCCUUCGGGUUGUAAAACUCUUUCGACGGGACGAUAAUGACGGUACCCGUAGAAGAAGCUCCGGCUAACUUCGCGCCAGCAGCCGC